CCUCCUCCUCCUCCUCCUCCUCCUCCUCUUCCUCCUCCUCCUCACCUCCCCAAGUACCUCUCCCUCCCUCCUCCUCCUCCUCCUCCUCCUCCUCACCUCCCCAAGUCCUCUCCUCCUCCUCCCUCCUCCUCCUCCUCCUCCUCCUCCUCCUCCUCACCUCCCCAAGUACCUCUCCCUCCUCCUCCUCCUCCUCCUCCCUCCCCAAAUGAAUCUCUCACUGUUCUGCCUUACUAGUUGAACCCCCCCACUCACACACCUGAUACACACCUUGACACACACACACACAUUCCCGCCUACUACAUCCCCACUUUGUCGUUAGUGUAGAACAUGAAGCAAUGGUAACGCCUUCUCCUCUUUUUAACCCGUAACUGUCCUCAAACCCUCCACUCCAAAUGAAUGAGCUUCGGCACCUUUUUAUUCUUCUUACUUUUCCGUGGGAUUCUUCGUGCGAGUUUAUAACUAUUUUUGUGUUUUAACAGAAACAUGCUAAGAAUGUUGGAUAUGGAUGUAAUGUAUUCUCUCGCUGCGGCGCAGAGAUCCAAGCUCGAUUACAGAGCUCGCUAGACUCACCUCCCAUAAAUCAUCUCCCUCCUCCCAUCCCAUUGUGCUGUAUUUGCUGCGUUCACACUACAGGGUAGAGAAUGUCCUGCGACUGAUUCCCAGGACACAGCCCCGAUUCUUUUAGUGCAAUGGGAACCGCCAUAAACACAGGCCGUCUGAUUUAGUACAAUGGCUCUUUUUUGUCUCCUGCCAUCGCCCCCGUUUCAUUUUCUUCCGAUUAACUGCCAAAAACUGACCACUAACGUUAAGCCGUGACCUUCACUAAUGUAACCCCGUUAUCUCCAGAUAACUGCAGUGUCAUUUCCCCCGUCCUAACCAGGGUUACACGUGUCGUACAUUCACGCCAGAAAUCUGACAUCUGUACAAAGAAAUGUGUGACACUACGUAUGUCUGUGUGCUGCAUGCUUACCCCCCACUCCCUGCCUUGCCCUCCUCCAAGCAACGCAUUUUUAGUCUUCCAAAGAAUCAUCAUCCGCGUCGAACCGACCGCCCGUUCGGAAGCUCGCUCUCUCCAUCUGUGUGAACGUCGUCCUCCCGUUGCCGAGUUCAGAGCGCGAAGCGUGUGCAAUACUCAGAUUUAUCCCCUUUUGCAUCUGAUGAGUUCCACACACACAUUGUACCCGACAGCCAUCCGCUGGCGUUGUGCGUAAGGAAUAGUAAUAAUAGAACCACAGACUCCGUGCCAGCCUCCACAGCCAUCUCCCCCCUCAUCCUCACUGACUAGUACUGUAGAACAGCGUCUCUCCACUAAAGCUGCAUGCUCAUAGGGCGUAGAGGUCUAUCAGGGGGGUCUGACCGCGCGGUCUUAGCGCUAUAGACCCGUUUGUGUGUAUCCUAGUAGAACUUGUAUGUGCUUGUGUGUGUGUGUGGUGUAAAACAGGGGGGGUGUCGGUGGUAGUGUCGUCGUCAGUGUCCGCUAGGCAUGUCCCUCUCUCGUUCGCGUGUCGGUGUAUUUACAGUAUGGGCUGUUGAGUAGUGCUAGUCGCUUAGCUUCCCCGCCCCCCAGCCGGCCCCCCUCUUUAGACUGCGUGUUUAGAGCCCCUCACUGUCCUAUGAUUUACAAAGGGUGGACUCGUAGUGGAGGACCUCUUCUUUGACGGUUUACACUUUGAGUCCGUUUUAUUUUUGUUUAAUUUGAAUGUUUUUUUCCCGCCAAGGCUCCAGGGGUCACUCUCGCCUCGGUUAUGUCAAGAAUUGUAUUUUGUAUUUUUGUUUGCAAGCACUAAAAGAAAUGUACACUACACUCCUGGCAAGUUACACAUUUGCUUCGUAGAUUUAGUUUUUAUUAAACGAAACAAGAUAUAUAUAUCGAACCGUAAAUACUGCAAAGGUGUGUUUUAGGUUGCUUGUGUGUGUUGAUGUAUUUAGCGAUUGUAGAAAUAGCCAUGUAAAGGAAGAAAAAGAAACAAAGACAGUUUGAAGAUUUGGUUUGGGCUUCCCGGUAUUGCGUUGGCCAUGUCGUUAGCUUGCUUCUGUAACCUCCUCUGGCUGAGUAAUAUCAAUAAAUGUAUCAAUCCGAAAAUACAUAAAAAAAUAUGUAUUUUAUAACAUUGUAUUUUAAGUACUAAACUUAAUGAGAUUAACUGCAGUAAAAACAACAAGAGAAAGUGAUGCCUUUUGAUUUAGACUGCCAACUAUAAUGGAAAAUACAUGUGUGGACUCUGUGUGGUGGUGAUGGCUGGUUCAUACUGUGUGCAUGGAUCCCCCAACUCACCCCAGGUGUGCGGCCUCACCCAGCCCCAGAGUCUAAUCAGUCUGCCUCGUGCCAGGGGAGGCCGCUUGAAGCAGCCAUCAUCCACAGACACACACUUCACAACAUUGUUGUCCGAAAAGUACACAAUCUGCCUGUAACCUCCAGAGUAGAGUCUCUCUAGCCGAGAUGCGAGACACCGUUUUUAUAGUCGUGAGAAAGACACUGCAUUUUGAAUGUUUUGUAGUGAGACAAACGUAGCAUUCUGUAAUGCACCCUUUUGAUUGUGUAACACUGUAUCUCCUAGCUUAAAGACCUACUGACGGAUUCUUGAAAUGUGUAACGUGUGAACACUAAUUUGAACGUAGACUAAUCUCGACGUAGUCACAUGAUUCUGCCUUGUCAAUCACAUGACCGAUCGGAAAUGUGCCCCCUCUCUUAUCGUGGCGUCGGCACGCUCGCACGCUGUCGACACUAAAGAACAAUUAUGAACUAUUAGCAGAUUAAUUUAUUUCUGUUGAUGUAAAUUAGGUGUAUAAAAUAUAUGUAUAUAAAAGUCACUGCACAAUAAAUGUGAACAUAUCAUGGUUUGGCUUGUGUCGUCUGAGUUUCUGCGUGAUCGUGUUGCACGUGCCUGCCUGGGUUUGGUGAAGAAGCCGGGUGACUCUUAUGAUGGAGGAGCAAAGGGCGUCUCGCAAUGAGAUAUCACUUGAGACAUGUCUCCUAUGGUGACGUGAUACGGCGAGAUAGGUCCGUUGUCAAUCUUGGGCGUUAUCUGUCGGUGCCAGUGGCUCCCAUUAAGAUGUACGGCAACCUGCAAUCUCACUGCUUUGCAUAUGUAUAAAGAACUUGAUGACACCGGGUUUUCAUCAUAUGUAUCGACAGAAGAGCCCCAAUCUCUCACUGCAUGAACAAAAUGCUAAACACAACCCCCUGCCCCAGCCCCCAUCCCAAGGCACCUGUUCCCUUUCAGAGGUGCAGUGCUGCCCCCACCUGGUGAGAUGAGGGAGGGGGGGGGUGUGGUUGGCCCCUGCUCCCCUGGGGGAAUAGGGCCUGGAGAUGAAAGGCUCCUAUCAAGUAGUAUCCCC
ensembl:lncRNA